rnacentral:rRNA from 1 species
CGGACGGGUGAGUAAUGUCUGGGAAACGUGCCUGAUGGAGGGGGGUAACUACUGGAAACGGUAGCUAAUACCGCAUAACGUCGCAAGACCAAAGAGGGGGACCUUCGGGCCUCUUGCCAUCGGAUGUGCCCAGAUGGGAUUAGCUAGUAGGUGGGGUAACGGCUCACCUAGGCGACGAUCCCUAGCUGGUCUGAGAGGAUGACCAGCCACACUGGAACUGAGACACGGUCCAG